rnacentral:rRNA from 1 species
AUUGAACGCUGGCGGCAUGCUUUACACAUGCAAGUCGAACGGCAGCGCGGGCUUCGGCCUGGCGGCGAGUGGCGAACGGGUGAGUAAUGCAUCGGAACGUGCCCAGUAGUGGGGGAUAGCCCGGCGAAAGCCGGAUUAAUACCGCAUACGACCUGAGGGUGAAAGCGGGGGACCGAAAGGCCUCGCGCUAUUGGAGCGGCCGAUGUCGGAUUAGCUAGUUGGUGGGGUAAAGGCUUACCAAGGCGACGAUCCGUAGCUGGUCUGAGAGGACGACCAGCCACACUGGGACUGAGACACGGCCCAGACUCCUACGGGAGGCAGCAGCGGGGAAUUUUGGACAAUGGGGGCAACCCUGAUCCAGCCAUGCCGCGUGCGGGAAGAAGGCCUUCGGGUUGUAAACCGCUUUUGUUCGGGAAGAAAUCCUCUGGGCUAAUACCCCGGGGGGAUGACGGUACCGGAAGAAUAAGCACCGGCUAACUACGUG